rnacentral:rRNA from 1 species
UCAGGAGGAAUGAACGCUGGCGGCAUGCUUAACACAUGCAAAGUCGAACGGGAAGUGGUGUUUUCCAGUGGCGAAAGGACAGUGUACACGCGUAAGAACCUUGCCCUUGGGAAGGGGAACAAACAACGGAAAAAGGUUGUAAUACCCCGUAGGCUGAGGAGCAAAAGGAGAAAUACGGCCCAAGGAGGGGCUCGCGUCUGAUUAGCUAGUCGGUGAGGGGCAAUUAGCUUACCAAGGCAGCCCUGAUCCCCCAGUAGUGGUCCGGAGGGAUGAUCAGCCACACUGGGGGACUGAGACAGCGCCCACGACUCCUACGGGGACCUCACGGCAGCAGUGGGGAAUUUUCCCGCAAUGGGCCGAAAGCCUGACGGGAGCAAUGCACGCGUGAGGGUGAUGGAAAGGCCUAAGGGCGUCAACCUUCUUUUCUCGGAGAAGAAAAAAGGACGGUUAUCUGAGGAAUAAGCAUCGGCUAACUCUGUGCCAGCAGACGCCGUAAGACAGCGGAUUGAAGCGUAUCCGGAUAUGAGUGGCCGUCCGUUCCGCGUAAAGCGUCUGUAGGUGGCUUUUACAAGUCCGCCGCAAAAUCCAGGGCUCAACCCUGGCAGGCGUGGAAAAAUACCAAGGCUGGAGUACGGUAGGGGCCGGGGAAUUUACGGUGGAGCGGUGUGAAAUGACAUGAGAUCGGAAAGACAACACCAACGGCGAAAGCACUCUGCUGGGCCGACACUGACACUGAGAGACGAAAGCUAGGGGAGCAAAUGGGAUUAGAGACCCCAGUAGUCCUAGCCGUAAACGAUGGAUACUAGGUGCUGUGGAUCGACCCGUCAGUGCUGUAGCUAACGCGUUAAGUAUCCAGACUGGGGAGACGUUCGCAAGAAUGAAACUCAAGGAAUAAGGGCCCGCACAAGCGGUGGAGCAGUGGUUUUUAAUUCGAUGCAAAAGCGAAGAAACAUUACCAGGGCUGGACAUGCCGCGAUCCUCUGAAAGAGAGGGGUGCCCUCGGGAACGCGGACCACAGGUGGUGCAUUGGCGUCGUCAGCUCGGGCCGUAAGGUGUUGGGGUUAAGUCUCGCCAACGAGCGAAACCCUAGUGUUUAGGUGCCACUAUGAGUUUGGAACCCUGAAAAGACCGCCGGGUUAAGCCGGAGGAAGGGAGAGGAUGCGGCAAGUCAUAAUGCCAACAAAAACCUCCUUAUGCCGGGCGAAACACGUGCUACAAUGGGCGGGACAAAGGGUCGCGAUCUCGCGAGGGAGCGAGCUAACUCCAAAAACCCGUCCUCAGUUCGGAUGCAGGCUGCACUUCGUGCAUGAAUGAAGCAGGAAUCGCUAGUAAUCGCCGGUCAGCCAUACGGCGGUGAAUUCUCGUUCCCGGGCCUGUACACACCGCCCGUCACACUAUAGGAGCUGGCCAGGUUUGAAGUCAUCCUUACCGUAAGGAGGGGGAUGCUACGGAUAGGCUUGCGACUGGAGUGAAGUCGUAACAAGGUAGCCGUUACUGGAAGGUGGGCUG